GGAAUAUAGCUCAGUUGGUAGAGUGCUUGCUUUGCAUGCACAAAACCCUGGGUUGGAUCCCCAGCACCA
rnacentral:tRNA from 1 species